rnacentral:rRNA from 1 species
GACAGAGGUGCCGAGCGUUAGGCGGAAUCACUGGGCUUAAAGCGUGUGUAGGCGGACUUCUAAGUACCUUGUGAAAUCCCACGGCUCAACCGUGGAACUGCUUGGUAUACUGGUUGUCUUGAGCCACUUAGGGGCAGUCGGAACAGACGGUGGAGCGGUGAAAUGCGUAGAUAUCAUUUGGAACGCCAAUGGUGAAAACAGGUAGCUGGGAGUGUGCUGACGCUGAGACACGAAAGCCAGGGGAGCAAACGGG